rnacentral:lncRNA from 1 species
AAAAAAUAAAUAGUCUUUAACACCAAGAACACAAUGAAACAUCAAUCUUCCUCUUCUUCCUCAUCUCCUCCAGCUCCACUUCCAUCAGCUUGAUUUCGUCUUCUUUCCACCCUUUCAUCCCCAAUGGAGAUAUACAGGUAUCCAGGACUUGGUGCGAAUUGCAACUGCUCGAAUAAAGAAACCAAUGACUCAUUGGUAAAGUUCACUCCCCGCCCAAUGUCGUCUUGGUACCUUCGUUGUUCAACACUAUAACAAUUCAUCGGUAGCUCCUCCUCGAUUGGAAUAACCGGUGGGACUUGUAGCACACGCACCCUCCUUUGCCGUACCCUCCUUCCCGGUUCUUCCGGCACCAACAGUUCAUCGUCAUUUGGGAUAUUAAUAUGGCCCCCUCCAUAAUAUUCAAUGAUCCUAGUCCUCCUAAAUAAAUUCAUGCUGAAGGGAGGACUAGGAAUCAAAGUCAAUGCUUGUGCCUCCGGUCGAUCCAAAAUGCCAUAGGUUCUCGCAAGCCUUGUCAUAAACAUGCCACCAUUAAUUUUUGAAGUUACCCAUUCUUUUACUACCCCCUCCGCCAAGUACUUUUCCAUGCAAUAUGGAAAAUUGAAAAAUACAUUAGGAGUAAUAAUACUCCACAUGUAGAAAAUGCCGAGAGUAGGGACCUUAUCAUCAUCCUUUCGCAUUUUUAUAGUGCUUGCGAUCAGACGAUGUAUCAGGCGAUGGAUCAGGGAACGAAUGCUCCCCUCUUGAGUGGAUGAAGGUAUGUAAACCCGGUUGGCAAUGGUGUUCCACCAAGUAGAGGCAACCACACCCUCGGGCAAAUCCUUGUGGGACUGAUCUAAAAAUGACUCAAAAGUCUCUGACAUGAUUUCAUUUUGAUCACAAAUUCCCAGCCUCCACGCCAACUCAGCAAUGCUACACUGGUGAUACUCUCCUCCAAGGAAGAAUGAAAUGAUGCUCGGAUUAUAAUACUCAUCACCACCCCAGAAAGAGAUGGUGGUAAAGAGUUACCAACAAAGCUCUUGAUAUACCGGUUCUUGCAGCUUAAACAACCGAUUCCAACCAUCACAAACUAUUUGCACCCCAUUAACUUCACAAGACUUAAUCAGAUAAUAGUUUAGUGCUUCUUCCAAGCCAGCCUGCACCAUCCAUGACCAAUCCAGCUCAUUGGGAACAUAGAUUUCCUUCCGCCUUAAGGCCUCCAGAUUGCUUUUUGUUCUUGUAAGUGAAGACUUGCUCGUAAUGCUCAAAAAACUCAACCAUGAGAUAUUCCCAUGACCGCCUCCUCGUGAGCUUUGGGCUCUUCUAAACUUGGUUCCUGCACAGCAAAGAAACAAGAAAACCACAAACAAAAUACGGGAAUAAUUAAAAAUGCCAAAUUUAUGGGCAUCAAUUGUAAACCCUGUCGAUAUAGUGAGAAUAACUCACCUCACAACUGCUGACCGAAGAGAUAAGAUCACGUUGCUCCAACCUCCGACACGAACUCCACCACUGAUCAAUACCAAAUGGCUGAACUCAAUAAAUACCAAUAAUUACCAAAAUACCCUUGGAAGUCAACUGGUCAACUCUUGGUCAAAGUCAAAGUUCUCAGUCAAAGUCCACCUUUCUGUGUGACCCUAAUCGCCGAGUCACCCCGUCGACUCGCCGAGUCCCACAAUUCUGAGUCCCUUCUCUCUCAACUCACCGAGUCAUCCCUCGACUCACCGAUUCACCGUUCAACCAGAAAAAGGUUAGGACUCCACGACCAGAAUCGUUGAGUCCAAGGCAAUCUUCAACAGACUCGCCGAGUUAUUCUUCCAACUCGUUGAGUUCUUGCCUAUCUUCAUGCAACUCAUCGAGUACACCUAUGUGACUCACUAAGUUACUACACGACUCAUGCCAAAUCUCUAGCCCGACUCGCUGAGUCAUCUCCCAGAGUUGUCGAGUCCAACGUGAAGUUCCAUAAUCUCUAGUCACAAAGCCACUCCCUACUCCAAAAACUAGAUCAGGGUCCCUAUGGUUCAUUAGCAACAUAAAGUUGCUAACUUUACGUGCUUCCAUGACCCAUUCAUCAAAAACCAAGUUAACAUGGAACUUAACUCAUUAGGGCUGGCUUUUGUACGGCUAAUCCAAGGACUUUCUUCACAUAGAAUCCAUAUGGAACUCAGAUCUGGAGUUUCAACUCCAGAUCUCACUCAUGCAUCAAGAUCUCAAUAUUUAAUUCUUCCUAACAAACCCUAAAGCUCCAAAAAGGUGGAUCUAGAAGGAAUAAAGCCAAGAUAACAAAUCCUUACCUCAAAACAACCUCCAACAGAAGAGUCUCCCAAAUCUCCUCAAGCCUCCUUGAUCCAAGCUCCUUAGUCUUGAAGAUUUCCUUCUUAAAUCACUUAUACAAGCUCCAAAAUACUCCCAAGGCUCUUCUCUUAUGAUUUUAGGGCUUCUGAUCCUCAGAGGGGUGAUAAGGGGCCGAAAUUGGGGCUUAAGGCUCCUUAAAUAGGGUGCAAACCCUAGGAAUUAGGGUUUCUCAUUCCAGCACGGACUCGCCGAGUCCAUCCUGCCGACUCACCGAGUUGGUCACUAAACAUGUGACCACAAUCGCGAAUCGACUCGUCGAUUCUAUCGAUUGACUUGUCAAGUCAAUCCUCAUUAAUUACAGCUAGCACCCAGAACUUGCACUUCUAAACUCGGGGUGUUACACCUAAAGUCCAAGUGUUCCCAAAAGUGGGAUUUUCUAGGAAUGGAAGGUUUUAUGACACCAAAAGUUGAAACUUGUAUAGGAUUAAGACCUAAAGUUGUUACCUUGUUGGAUGAAAUUGCUAAAGGAGAGAAGAUUCAAGACGGAUGCUUGAGAGUGUAUGCACGUCGAGUGUGGGGAAGCAGCUCGUGAGAAUGGCUGAAUGUUUUUCAAUUUAGGGUAAAAACCCCUCUUUUACAUAAUGUAAUAAAAAUAAAAUUUAUUUUCAGGUGAAUAUAUGUACUCGUCGACUAGGCGGACCUACUCGGCGAGUAGAGGCCUGAUUCAACGUGUUUUCGAAAAUUUUGAGAUAGACUCGCCGAGUUUUUCAUUUUGUGAAAAAUUUAAAUUGAUUUUUGAAAAUAAAAUGUACGCCACCCCACACUUGAGCAUUUCUUGUCCUCUAGCAAUCAUUUUAACACAAGAGAAGAAUGAUAAAAACAAAUCCUAAGCAAAAAAAAAAAAAAAAAAAAAAAAACGAAAAGAGAAGAAAGCAAACUCUAAGGCGGGUUGCCUCCCGGAAGCGCUUUUUUUAAGGAGUCAUUAGUUGGACUCUCUCCCGCUUACGUCGCUGUAAUCCCUUCCAGCAUCAUCCCUUCUUCAUGUUCUUCAGUUAUUGGAAUUCCUUCUUCAUAUCUUUUCACCCUAUGACCAUUGACCUUGAAAGAAGUUCCAUCUCUUGAUAGUAGCUCAAUAUUUCCAUGUGGAAAAAAUUUAUUCACUAUAAAUGGACCAUCCCAUUGUGUCUUAAGCUUGCCCAGAAAUAGUUUGAGCCUUGAAUUAAAAAGCAACACCUUUUAUCCUUCGUGAAAGACCUUAUUACUCUUGAGUCUUUUGUCAUGCCAAUUCUUGGUCUUCUCUUUGUAAAUCAAUGAACUAGUGUAGGCCUCAUUCCUUAGUUCUUCAAUGGCAUUCAUUUGCAUCACUCGGUUGUUUCUAAGUUCAUCCAACUCAAAAUUGCACAUUUUUAAACCCCAAAAUGCCUUAUGUUCAAUCUCAACCGGCAAGUGACAACUCUUCCCAUAAACCAACCGAUAUGGUGUAGUGCGAAUAGGUGUUUUGAAAGUUGUUCUAAAUGCCCAUAGUGCAUCAUCCAACUUAUCCGACCAACCUUCUUUAUUACUUCCAACCGAUCUUUCUAAUAUUCUCUUCAACACCCUAUUUGUAACUUCAGUUUGCCCACUCGUUUGAGGAUGAUAGGAUGUUGAAAAUCUAUGGUGGACACCAUAUUUUUUCAAUACCUUAGCUAAUUGAUAAUUGGUGAAGUGGGUGCCUCGAUCACUAAUUAGGGCCCUUGGAACUCCAAAUCUUGAAAAUAAUUUCUUGAGAAAAUGCACCACCACUUGAGCAUCAUUUGUGGGUAAUUCUUGGGCCUCUGCCCAUUUGGAUACAUAAUCAACAGCUACCAAAAUGUAUUUAUUUCCCUUUGACAUUGGAAAAGGACCCAUGAAGUAAAUUCACCAAACAUCAAAUAUUUCACAAACUUGAAUGCUAUGUUGGGGCAUUUCCUUGCGUGAUGAAAUGUUUCCCAUUCUUUGGCAUGAAUCACAUUCUUUGACAAAUUUUGUAGCAUCUUUAAAUAUAGUGGGCCAAUAAAAACCCGAAUAAAAAACUUUCUUGGCCGUAUAUUGCACUCCAUGAUGUCCUCUGGUGGGCCCGUUAUGACAAUGCUCCAAUAUUUCCCAACUUUCAUUCCCGGAUACACAUCUACUUAUCAUACCAUCGGCACAGCUACGAAAGAGGUAUGGUUCAUCCCAAAAGUAAUACUUGAUUUCUGAAAAGAACUUCUUGUUUUGUUGGCGGGUCAAGUCUUUUGGGAUGUAUUCAGUAGCUAAAUAGUUAGCUAUAUCUGUAAACCAUGGAAUCUCACCUGCUACAACUAAUAAAUGCUCUUCGGGAAAUACAUCUCCAAUCUUGUUUUCUUCAAACUCAUCCAAAUGCGGGUUUUCCAAUCUCGAUAAAUGAUCGGUAGCCACGUUCUCCAUCCCUUUUUUAUCUCGUAUUUCAAUGUCAAAUUUUUGUAAUAGCAAAACCCAACGAAUCAACCUAGGUUUAGCAUCUUGUUUAGCAAAAAGAUAUUUAAGGACAAAAUGGUCAGUAAACUAUGGUUUUUUACAAAACCAAAUAUGAGCGAAAUUUAUCAAAUGCAAAAACUACCGCUAAUAGCUCCUUUUCUAUAGUGGUGUAGUUUUCUUGUGUUGGGUUUAGGGUCUUACUUGCAUAAUAGAUUGUCUGAAAAUGCUUGUCAAUCCUUUUUCCCAAAAGAUCUCCCACCGCAAAGUUACUAGCAUCACUCAUUAGCUCAAAAGGAAGGCUCCAAUUUGGAGCUACCUGAAUAGGUGAAGUAGUCAACUUUUCCUUCAAAAAAUUAAACGCAUCAAGACAUUCUUUAGAAAAUUUGAAUGAGACGUCUUUCAAAAGAAGUUGAGUCAAGGGUCUUGUGAUCUUCGAAAAGUCUUUAAUAAAACGCCUAUAGAAUCCCGCAUGUCCUAAAAAGCUUCUUACCCCGUUGACAUUUGUUGGAGGUGGCAGAUUGGCUAUAGUGUCCACCUUUGCUCUAUCCACCUCUACCCCCCUCCUUGAGACCUUGUGUCCUAGCUCAAUUCCUUCAUUCACCAUAAAAUGACACUUCUCCCAAUUAAGGACAAGGUUGGUCUUCUCACAUCUUGCUAACAUUAGAUCCAAGUUGGACAAGCAAUCCUAAGAAGAGGACCGAAAAACUGAGAAGUCAUCCAUAAAACCCUCCACAAACUUUUCAAUCAUAUCAUGAAAGACAGCCAUCAUGCAUCUUUCGAAAGUAGCGAGUGAAUUGCAUAACCUAAAAGGCAUGCGUCUAUAUGAGAAUGUUCCACUCGGGCAUGUAAAAGUGGUCUUCUCUUGGUCUUGUGGGUCAAUUGGAAUUUGAAUGCACCCCGAAAACCCAUCGAGAAAACAAUAUUAAAGAUAACCAGAGAGCCUUUCAAGCAUUUGAUCGAUAAAAUGCAAUGGAAUGUGAUCCUUGCAUGUGGCCUCAUUUAGCUUCCUAUAGUCGAUGCAAACUCGCCACCCGGUUACCGUAUUUGUUAGAAUUACUUCGUUUUUUUCAUUAGCCACUACCCUCACACCUCCUUUCUACGGAUCCACUUGGACCGGACUCACCCAUGGACUAUCAGAGAUUGAAUAAAUGAUUCUGGCAUCUAGUAAUUUUACCACCUCCUUUUUCAAUACUUCAUGCAUGUUCGGGUUGAGUCUUCGUUGGCGUUGCACUACAGCUUUUAAACGAUCUUCUAAGUUAAUUUUGUGGGAACAAUAGGCUGGACUAAUUCCCUUUAUGUCGGUUAUCUUCCGCACUAUAGCCCUUUCCAUCUUCUUUAAUACACCCAGAAGGCUCUCCUUCUCAUGUUUGGCCAAAUCAGCAGCUAUUAUUACAGUUUUUUGUUGGCCAGCUUCAAGAAAUGCGUACUCCAAGUAAUCUGGUAGUGCCUUGAGCUCAUUUUUGGUGCGCUGAAUGUUGAACACGUCGAGUCCAGUGAGGGAACUCGUCGAGUCCAUUGUAAUGCUCACGAAUAUUCUGGGUUCUUCGGACGGACUCGCCGAGUCCAUCGGGGAUACUCGUCGAGUCGGACUUUCUGUACUUCCGAUCAAGUCGUUAUAAUCAGCUUCCUCGACCAGUAUUUCUAAUUCCAGCAGGUCCCUUUCAGCAUCAAACUCUUCUUCAAAUGAGAUGGUGGACUUGCUUGGGUUAUCUUCAUUCCAAUCUUCCAAAAAUUCUUCCAACAUGUCAAUCGAAAAUGUCGUGUCGUCACUACUCCUUGGAUGCUUCAUGGCUUGAUCAUCUCCAAAAGUGACUGAUUUGUCUCCUACACGAAGGGUAAGUUUAGAAUCUCGCAUGUCUACAAUAGCACUUGUUGUAUUAUGGAAAUGUCUUCCUAAUAUAAUCGGGACUUGAGGAUCCGCUUCCGUGUCUAAAACUAUAAGGUCCGCAGGGAACACGAACUUGUCCACCUUCACCAAAAGAUCUUCACAAAUUCCCCUAGGAAAUGUAACCGUCUUGUUAGCUAAGUGUAUUGCCAUACGAAUGGGCCUUGGCUCCGGAAGAUCUAGCUUUUUGAAAAACGAGUAAGACAUUAGAUUUACACUUUCCCCUGAAUCAGAUAGUGCAUAAAUGGUGGUUAAGUUUCCAAAUUGUCAGCACAAUGUUAAACUUCCCGAAUCUCCUUUCUUCUUAGGAAGUUUGUUAACCAUUGCAGCUGGACAAUUCUCGUUUAGCGCCACCUUCUUCACUUCUUCCAUUUUCCUUUUAUUAGUUAGAAGCUCCUUGAGGAAUUUGGCAUAUUUUGGCAUUUCAACAACUACUUCUAUGAAUGGUAUGUUAAUUUGAAGAGCCUUUAUGUGUUCUAAAACGUUCUGGUAGUCUUCUUCAUUCUUUUCCUGUCUAGCUCGAGCUGGAUAAGGCAGUAGAGGCUGAUAUGGCUUAACAGGAGGUUUAUUUUUCUGUUCAAUUGUCGGACUCGUCGAGUCCAUAUUGUGGACUCGGCGAGUAGGGUCUGGGUUUUAAUGGAUUUUUGGAUCUUCAUUCUGCCCUUCUGCCACCUUCUCUUGCACCAGGUUUGGAUCUUCAUUCUGAAUAGGUGCCAGAGGGGUUACGAUCUUCCUACUCUUAGUUGUGACAAAGUUUAUAUGUGUACCUUUCGGGUUACUUUCGGUAUUACUCGGUAGUCCACCCGGUCUUCUCUUAUUUACUUCUUGUGCAAGUUGCCCUAGCUGCUUUUCUAUGUUGAGGAUAGAAGCUUGCUGAUUCCUAAGCAAAGCUUGUUGAUCUUUUAUCAUAAGUUGGUGUUCUCUCAACAUAUUUUGUUGAUCUUUAAGUGUAGCAUCGGUAUCAUUGUGUUGUUUUUCGAAUGUGGCUACGAAUCUUGUAAGCAUCUCUUCUAAAUUAGUCCUUUUUUCCAUAACUGGUUCCUCCUUUUGAUAGAAGCCUCUUUCUUUUUGCUUAUAUUUCUCCUCUGUUGUCUUUUUGUGCUCGUCAUACGGGAGCCAUUCCUUCUUUGGUUUUCGCCAAUUAUCAUCAAAUUUUUCGCCACUUGAAUAGAAUACUUGAGCCUUCUUGUUUCCAUUCUCAUCCAAAUCACAAUCCUUUGUGAGGUGAGGUCCGCUACAAUUCUCACAUCCUACCUGAAUAGCAUGGAUUGUUUGAUCCAUCUUAGUCAUCCUCGUAUCUAAACUAUCUAGUUUAGCAAUCAUUGCAGCCAUGCUAUCAUUAACAGUGUUCAACACCCCUUACUUACUUCAUUUCGUGGGUUAUGAUAUUCUCUAGAGUGUUUAAAGAAUUCCCCAAUUAAUUCCUUGAUCACCGGGGGUGGCUUCUUGGUGAGCGGUCCUUGCGAGUCAAGAAGCUGCCUUGUAGUCACAUUGACCCCAUCAUAAAAGAUAGAGACUUCUUGUUGGCUAUUAAGAUCAUGAUGCGGGCAAUUCCUUAGUAGACUUUUGUACCUCUCCCAUGCCUCAUAAAGGGAUUCUCUGCUUUGUUGUUCAAAGUAGGCAAUAGCUUUCUGCAACUUGGCUAUCUUUGAAGGUGCGCAAAACUGGUCAAUAAAUUCUUCUUUCAUCUUAGCCCAUGUAGUGAUGGAUUCGGUGGGGAGUGACUUGAGCCAAUCCUUUGCAGCACCCUAGAAUGUAACUGGAAGCAUGCGAAGCAGAUGGGUUUCAUGAGGCACGUUUGGAACAUUAAAAUAAUCAACUACAUCAUUGACUUCAUCCAAGUGUUUGUACGCAUCUUCGUGGUCUUUUCCGUAGAAGGGGAUCUCUUUGAGUUGAGCAAGUAUGUGACCCUUAAGCUUAAAAAUGGCAGUUGCGGGAAUUGCGGGUUGCAUAAGUCUCGGGCCGGUAUCAUCUAGUAUCCUCUUCUUGUAUUCGCCCAUGGGGACUUCAUCGAUGUUUGCCAUGAUGUUGACCAAGUCUCCUUCUUGAUCGCUUUCCUCUUCGUAUUCGGUAUCGUAGUCGUAUUCGAAUUCAAAUUUCUUUUGGAUUGUCUUCAAUAUCUUCUUACUUACUUUCUUCGCUCUUUUGACUACUGGUCUCUCCUAGUUUCUUGUUCUUUUUCUUCCCAAAACCCGUCUUCAAGCUAGUCAAAGGUGACUUCUUUGGUGUAUUCGAGCUUUCGUCGCCCUUGCCUGUGUUUUUCCUCAAUGCGGAUUCUGGGUUUUCAAAAGGGGGAACCAGAGGUGUGUUGGAUCCUCUGGUCAUGAAAAUCCUACAACAAAAUGAGAAAACGCGUAAAAAGAACAAAAACAAAAUAAAACAAAAACAAACAAACAAAACUGCGACGGACUCGCAUAGUAGCUUCGACUGCACUCAGCGAGUUCAAAGCAGAAAUGGAAAAAAUUUCUAAUUAAAUUUCUAAAACAAAAAACUAUAAGAACUAAUCCUAAUAACUAAAUUACCUAAAAAAACCUAACUUUGUGCAACAUAACUCUCACAAAAAGGAUCGAUAAAACUAGAAAUUAGUGUUAACUUUUGAACUGUUCCACGACAACGGUGGCAAAAACUUGAUAUGUGUAAAACCUACUAGUUUUAAUCCUACUUUUAAUUAUAAAAUUGACACACAAAGGCAGUGGACCUAUCAAUUAUGGUAUAGUUAAAUAAGUAGGGUAUCGAACACAGGAAACUGAAAAUUAAAACUAAAAACUAAUAUUAUCUAAAGAACAAGUAUUAAAUAAGGGGGUUUCUCUGUUUUGCAUGACUAGAAACUUAAUUAAAAAUACUAACACUCAAAUUAACUAACUAACAACUAAAACACGAGAUUACCAACUGAAUUCAAUAAAAAGAGGACUUCUGUUUAGGUUCGACUCAUCUGUUCCCAUGGAGGAUUUCAAUGUAUCAGAUUAAUUCUUUAUUGGAUAACGAUUAAGAUGAUUAGAUUCACGUUCGUUAUUACUUAUCCUUAGAAAACAAAUUAACUCAAGCAAUGGCUAGUUACCAAAAUUAACAGAUUUUCUAGUUAUUGAUUUGGGUUAAAUAAGACUUGUAAUGGUUAAUUGAAUUGGCCCUUCGAUUAACCUCUUGUUGAUGUUCAUCAAACACGCUCACACAUUAACUUACUAUCUUCUAGUUAAUUCUAGUUUCAAGUUCGCUAUUCCUAGACAUACAAUUAUGUGGUCAUGAUAAAUUAUAUGAAAUUAAUAACUAAGAGAUGUUCAUGCAACUUAAUUAUUUAUUUAUCAACAGAAGAAUAGUUUUGCUAGCACAAAAGGCUCUUUAACAAGCUGGAUAAAACAUAAUUACCAAUUAAAAUAAAUUUCAAUUAAAUAAUCAAUCCAUGUUCACAAAUUCAUCUACCCUAAAUACAAGUUACGAGUUUUAGCUCAUGAUUUCAAUUAACAUAAACUGAAAAACAAAAUCAAAGUGUAUGAACAUGAUUCAAAUUAAAAGGUUAUUAAGAAUAAACCAAAAUUGCCUUUAUUCUCUUCACAAUUGAAUAUAGGAUUGAUGUUGCAACUUCUCACGUCCCAGCAGUACCUCUAGUCGUUCAGCAGCCUCCUAGGGUUCCAGAAAAGUUCUCAAUUCGGGUUUGUGAGUUCUAUUUAUAGUUUUCUCAAAACAUGGGCUACUCGCUGAGUCCAGUGACCUACUCGGUGAGUCCUUCACUUGAAAUCCGUGUACGGCAAGGAUUCCACGUGUUGCUUUGCGAACCUUCACACCUACUCGUCAAGUAGACGAUCCUACUCGGCGAGUUGCUUUAAAAUUAAGUCUUUUUCUUCUUUCUUUUGUUCCCAAGCUUCCAUUCAUAUCUCCUGCUCCCUUUUGCUUCCGAGCUUCUUUUUGGACUGAAAAUAUAACUUGAAAAAUAUUAAGUAUCUUUUGUCCAUAAUAUGCAAUAAAUUAGCCAAUAAAUGAUAAAAAUCCAACAUAAAAAUAUAGCUAGAUAUACAAAUAUCAAAAUGCCCUACACUUGACUUUUGCUUGCCCCCAAGCAAAACUGAAUUUUAGCACACCAAUACCACAUAAUACAAUCCUAAUCGAACCCAACAAUUAUGCCAAGACCGCAACGCAUGAAUUUGUGUCUAAAUAAUUUUCCUAAGUACCCCCCUCGAUUCUAAAUACUCACAAUCCUCAUAAACACUCGCCCAUUUUUUCCGAACAAUACUCAUUUUAUGCAUCCCUCCGAAUCCAUCCGCAUAAAACCUACUAGUCUCAAGGUGUUUUUGGUUGAGCAACGCAAUCAUACAUAUUCUAAAAAUUACAAUUCUUUGAUUCCAUUAUGGAGCUUUUUGGAAUUCUUCACUUUCUUGAUAAUUUAGACUUUGAUUUCUUUGAAUUCUUCAAAUUUGCCACCUUUUUGAUUACCUUGAUUUUAUUGGGUAUCUUCAACUUUUGAACUUUUGGAAUUUUGGUCUUUUGAUCUUCACUAUAACUUCUCCAAAAUUCUUAAAACUUUGCUUGUAAUUCUCUCUCCAUUUUUACAUGUACAUCACUUUUUUUCACUCAACACUUACAUGCUUAAGCAGGGGCGCUCAACUUCAACCUUUAUUGACUAAAAUAAUAAUUUUCCAGGAUACAUUUUUGGUACACGAUGCUAAACAUAUUACACCCCUCAAACUAAGCGAGGAUGUGUUUUUGUCCAAUGAUUUCACUAGAAUAAGGGUGGCCACAAAUGCACUAAAACGUAUAUAGGCUGAACUAAACAUUUGGGUCUUCAAAGAAUCAUCGAACAUAAUACUAGCAUGAACCCUAAUUGCUUUUACCAAAAUUUUCUAAUUUAGCCCUAGCAAUUUUAAUGAAAAAUGUUCAAAAUUUUCAAAAUUUAACUAGAAAUUUAACUAAUGUAACCAACCCCCUACCCCACACUUAAUUUAUGCAAUGUCCCCAUUGCAUAUUAUGCAUGAUAAAGAACAAUAAAAGAAAGAGGGAAUUGGAACGAACUCCCCUGGAGUAGUAGUGGCGAGGUCGACAUUUCUUCAAGUUAAAACCCCAUCUUCAAUUGACUUUAGACAUGAGAACAGCUCAUCCAUGCCUUGGGUGUCACUUCUUGUGUUGGAAAGCUCCAAAAAUGCACGGAAAAAAAUACUCGGAAAUCUUCCGAAAUUAAACUCUAAUGAAAAUGGGUGAGGCACGCAGUGAAUAUGAGCAGAAUAUCAGCCUUGAGAAUGAAAAACUUACAAACUCGUCGAGUCUAUACUUCAAAUCGACGAGUAGCAGUGUAUCAAGUACAAAAACAUAGAACUAAACUCGGACUCGUCGAGUAGGUAAAGUACACUCCGCGAGUCCAUUGCUGAGUGAAAAAUAUAAGCAUUCUGCUUGUGCGUUCCCUUUCUAAUGUGGGUUGGUAUAGUAACUCAAUGUAUUUUCUUUGAUUUUCUUCAAAAUAACUCUCUAAGAGCCUCCUUGAUAACGGACUCGACCCUAACUCAUGCACAUUCUCAUCUAGACCCGAUCCUCACUCUGACCUUAAUAAUUGCGACUCUUGCAUGCAUCCAAUCCUUCAAUCUGAAAAGGUAACAACAUAAGUUAUGGAAGAAAACAGAUUCCUAAAUAAAUAUCCGACAACUUUAACGCCCAAAAACAAAGAAAAAAGAAGGAAAAAAAUAAAUAGUGUUUAACACCGAGAACACAAUAAAACAUCAAUCUUCCUCUUCUACCUCAUCUCCUCCAGCUCCUCCUGCUCCACUUCCACCCGCUUGAUUACCUCUUCUUUGCACCCUUUCACCCCAAUUGGAGAUAUACGGGUAUCCAAGCCUUUGUGCAAAUUGCAAUUGCUCGAAAAAAGAAACCAAUGACUCAUUAGUAAAGUCCACUCCCCGCCUGAUGUCGUCUUGGUACCUUCGCUGUUCAACACUAUACCAAUCCAUCGAUAGCUCCUCCUCCACCGGAAUAACCGAUGGGUCUUGUGAC